GGUCCUUAUCUUUAAUCGAUCCUCAAAUUCCACUUUUCAAUCGCUAAGAAAGUUACCUGUGCUUUAUUUCAGAAUCUGAGACACAUCGUUAGAUAUUUUUUCCUUCCUACCAGAAGAAGCAACGGGCACGUGAUAAUUCCACACCACAGAAACGCAGCGAAGCUAUUAUGUCAGUGGCAACGGAGGUUUUUGGCAAAGUACCCUGCUACUUGAUUCAUAAAAAGACCCUUGGUGGCUUUCCAAUGGCUGCGGCGAUCAAUUAUCCACUUCCAGUAAGACCCAUCUCUCGUUUCAGCAACAGACCUCCGAGUAUGAUGAUGAUAUGCCGUUGCAACAGCCUUGACUUCAAGUCGUCCACCACUGUUGGAUCAGAGCAAGUGUUUUCUGUUACUUCUUCUACUAAAUCCGAGUUUGAUUAUUUGGGGCAGAGUACUAAAGGGGAUCUGAAUCUCAACUUUGAUCACCUUGAUUCUAUUGGGAUUGAUCCGCAGGUAACUUUAGAAGGUCCAAUUGAGGAGGUGGCUAGGCUGGAAGCUCAACAAGCUGAGGAUUUGCUUAAAGACUUGGGUAUACCGAGUCCUUCAUCAACAAGGAAUUCACCUCGUGGUAUAUUUUGUAGCCGUACUUUAAAUCUCCGGUCCAUCAGUGCCAUUGGAUAUGACAUGGAUUAUACUUUGAUGCAUUACAAUGUGAUGGCUUGGGAAGGAAGGGCUUAUGAUUAUUGCAUGGACAAUCUACGGAACAUGGGUUUCCCUGUUGAUGGACUUGCAUUUGACCCAGACCUGGUAAUUAGAGGUCUUGUCAUAGACAAAGAGAAAGGCAAUCUGGUUAAAGCUGAUCGAUUUGGUUAUGUAAAGAGGGCUAUGCAUGGCACAAAAAUGUUGUCUACUCAAGCUGUCAGUGAGAUGUACGGGAGAGAACUAGUAGAUCUGCGGAAGGAGAACCGAUGGGUGUUCCUGAAUACGCUGUUCUCUGUUUCAGAAGCUGUUGCCUACAUGCAGAUGGUUGACCAGUUGGAUGAAGGAGCUAUAGCAGCAGAACUGGGUCCACUUGAUUAUAAAGGACUUUAUAAGGCUGUUGGGAAGGCUUUAUUCCGGGCACAUGUUGAAGGCCAGCUUAAGAGUGAGAUAAUGUCAAAGCCAGAAUUGUUUGUGGAACCGGAUCCGGAAUUGCCUUUAGCACUUUUAGAUCAAAAGGAGGCUGGUAAAAGGCUUCUGCUUAUUACAAACUCUGAUUACCAUUACACAGACAAAAUGAUGAAACAUUCUUUUAACAGAUUCCUUCCAAAUGAUAUGGACUGGCGUGAUCUGUUUGACAUGGUGAUAGUCUCAGCAAGGAAGCCAGAGUUCUUUCAAAUGUCACACCCUCUUUAUGAGGUAGUGACCGGUGAGGGCUUGAUGCGCCCUUGUUUCAAAGCUCAUACAGGAGGUUUGUACUCUGGGGGGAGUGCUCAGAUGAUUGAGAACUCCUUGAAUCUCCAUGGCGACGAAAUAUUAUAUGUAGGUGAUCAUAUUUACACUGAUGUAAGUCAAUCAAAAGUCCAUUUACGAUGGCGAACAGCAUUGAUUUGUCGAGAAUUGGAAGAAGAGUAUACUGCUUUGAUUCGUAGUCGGGGUCAUCGAGCUGCUCUAGUUGAGCUCAUUAGUCAAAAGGAGGUUGUAGGGGAUCUUUUUAAUCAACUUCGGCUUGCAUUGCAAAGGCGAAUGCAAGAGCGUCCUGCUCAGACCCUUGCUGCUACUAACAUGGAUGAUCAAGAACUCGCAGAAAGCAUGCAGAAAUUAUUAAUUGUCAUGCAAAGACUGGAUGAGAAAAUUGCUCCCAUGCUAGAAGCAGAUGGAGAACUUUUCAACAGAAGGUGUAUUUCGGAUUAAGCGUUUUGCUCAGUAACACCAGCAUCCCAUCUUAGAUGAGCCAGUAUUAUGUGGAAUUCUCUAGAUAAGCUCCUGUCUGCAUUUUCUUUCAGACAUUUGACAUCAAAUUAAUCUGGUGCUGUCAUUUCACAACAGGUGGGGAUUUCUUUCACGUGCAGGUCUGUGGGAUAAAAGCCACUUGAUGAGACAAAUUGAGAAAUAUGCAGAUAUAUAUACCUCUAGGGUCUCAAAUUUCCUACAAUAUACACCAUUCAUGUACUUCCAUUCACAGGAACAGACACUGGCUCAUGAUUCAUAUUCAUACUACCAGGCAGAGGUUGAUGGGGCUGCUGUUGACGGCCAGGGCAGAUCUACAUUGUAAUCGUGUUAUUCAGCAAGCACUGUGCUCAUGUUUAACCCAUCAUGUUUCCUUGGAGAUUUUGAACCAUAGCUAAUGACUACAUGGGUGUAAAAGGCUUAUAAAUUUUCUUAAACGAGCAAGAAUUGGUGAGUUGUGUUCUUCAUUUCUUGCGUGUAAUGUAAGCCCCAAGUAAUUGUAAAACCGUUUAGAAUUAGAUAAUCAAAUUCGUCAAUUAUGAAGUAAGGUGAACUAUUAUUUAGUCCCUCUAUGAUAAGUUAUAACAAGACACAUUAAUAAAUUAAUUUUGGAGUUUUUCUCUUCUGA